CUAAAGCAUCAAAGGUUAUAUUUUGAAGGUUUUUGGAUGUCUUCACUUGUCUCGUUAAAAGAUUAAGUUCAGAUUUGAAGAGGUGGACUUCAUUUUUUAAAUAUUUAUUUUCGCAAGUCAUGAACUCCAAUUUCGACAAAAUUAUCCUGAAUGGUAAUCCUCUAAUCUCCUUUGAAAGUAGCAAGCUCUCAUCGUAUUCAUCUAACUCAUAAGAUAUCGCUGGUUUAUCUUCGUACUCUUGGUAUUGUGGAGUUUAGCAAGAAUAUUUCAGCAAGCUCGCCUUUCUAUCCUCAUGAUGAGAUUAUACUU
rnacentral:lncRNA from 1 species